GAUGAAGAACGUAGCGAAAUGCGAUAAGUAAUGUGAAUUGCAGAAUACAGUGAAUCAUCGAAUCUUUGAACGCACCUUGCACCCUUUGGCAUUCUGAAGGGUAUGCUCGUUUGAGUGUCAUUGUACUCUCACACUCCCGAUCUUUGCAUUGGGAGCAGUGGACUUGGGUUUGCUGCUUCACCGUCGCUUACCUCAAAUAGGUUAGUGCAACUCUUGGUUGGACAUAGUACGGCGUGAUAAGUGUUCUUCGCCGGUGCCUCGCAAAGAGGGUGGCCGAUCGGGAUGUUGUGCUCCAAACCGUCUUCGGACAAUCUCUGACGACUUGACCUCAAAUCGAGUAAGACUACCCGCUGAACUUAAGCAUAUCAAUAAGCGGAGGA
rnacentral:misc_RNA from 1 species